UACGGAGGAUGCAAGCGUUAUCCGGAAUGAUUGGGCGUAAAGGGUCCGCCGGUGGCAGUGUAAGUCUGCUGUCAAAGAAUGAGGCUUAACCUUAUCAAGGCAGUGGAAACUACACAGCUAGAGUACGGUCGGGGUAGAAGGAAUUCCUGGUGUAGCGGUGAAAUGCGUAGAGAUCAGGAAGAACACCGGUGGCGAAAGCGUUCUGCUAGACCUGUACUGACACUGAGGGACGAAAGCUAGGGGAGCGAAUGGG
rnacentral:rRNA from 1 species